rnacentral:rRNA from 1 species
UCGGGAAUUUUGGGCAAUGGGCGAAAGCCUGACCCAGCAACGCCGCGUGAGGGAUGAAGUAUUUCGGUAUGUAAACCUCGAAAGAACGGGAAGAAUAAAUGACGGUACCAUUUAUAAGCUCCGGCUAACUACGUGCCAGCAGCCGCGGUAAUACGUAGGGAGCAAGCGUUGUUCGGAUUUACUGGGCGUAAAGGGCGCGUAGGCGGCGCGGUAAGUCACUUGUGAAAUCUCUGAGCUUAACUCAGAACGGCCAAGUGAUACUGCUGUGCUAGAGUGCGGAAGAGGCAACCGGAAUUCUUGGUGUAGCGGUGAAAUGCGUAGAUAUCAAGAGGAACACCUGAGGCGAAGGCGGGUUGCUGGGCCGACACUGACGCUGAUGCGCGAAAGCCAGGGGAGCAAACG